rnacentral:rRNA from 1 species
GCUCAGAACGAACGCUGGCGGCGUGGAUAAGACAUGCAAGUCGAACGGGAGAAUUGCUAGCUUGCUAAUAAUUCUCUAGUGGCGCACGGGUGAGUAACACGUGAGUAACCUGCCUCUUAGUGGGGGAUAGCCCUGGGAAACCGGGAUUAAUACCGCAUACGAUUGAAAGAUCAAAGCAGCAAUGCGCUAGGAGAUGGGCUCGCGGCCUAUUAGUUAGUUGGUGAGGUAACGGCUCACCAAGGCGAUGACGGGUAGCCGGUCUGAGAGGAUGUCCGGCCACACUGGAACUGAGACACGGUCCAGACACCUACGGGUGGCAGCAGUCGAGAAUCAUUCACAAUGGGGGCAACCCUGAUGGUGCGACGCCGCGUGGGGGAAUGAAGGUCUUCGGAUUGUAAACCCCUGUCAUGUGGGAGCAAAUUAAAAAGAUAGUACCACAAGAGGAAGAGACGGCUAACUCUGUGCCAGCAGCCGCGGUAAUACAGAGGUCUCAAGCGUUGUUCGGAAUCACUGGGCGUAAAGCGUGCGUAGGCUGUUUCGUAAGUCGUGUGUGAAAGGCAGGGGCUCAACCCCUGGAUUGCACAUGAUACUGCGAGACUAGAGUAAUGGAGGGGGAACCGGAAUUCUCGGUGUAGCAGUGAAAUGCGUAGAUAUCGAGAGGAACACUCGUGGCGAAGGCGGGUUCCUGGACAUUAACUGACGCUGAGGCACGAAGGCCAGGGGAGCGAAAGGGAUUAGAUACCCCUGUAGUCCUGGCAGUAAACGGUGCACGCUUGGUGUGCGGGGAAUCGACCCCCUGCGUGCCGGAGCUAACGCGUUAAGCGUGCCGCCUGGGGAGUACGGUCGCAAGAUUAAAACUCAAAGAAAUUGACGGGGACCCGCACAAGCGGUGGAGUAUGUGGCUUAAUUCGAUGCAACGCGAAGAACCUUACCUGGGCUUGACAUGUAAUGAACAACAUGUGAAAGCAUGCGACUCUUCGGAGGCGUUACACAGGUGCUGCAUGGCCGUCGUCAGCUCGUGUCGUGAGAUGUUUGGUUAAGUCCAGCAACGAGCGCAACCCCUGUUGCCAGUUACCAUCGAGUAAUGUCGGGGACUCUGGCGAGACUGCCCAGAUCAACUGGGAGGAAGGUGGGGACGACGUCAGGUCAGUAUGGCCCUUAUGCCCAGGGCUGCACACGUACUACAAUGCCCAGUACAGAGGGGGCCGAAGCCGCGAGGCGGAGGAAAUCCUGAAAACUGGGCCCAGUUCGGACUGUAGGCUGCAACCCGCCUACACGAAGCCGGAAUCGCUAGUAAUGGCGCAUCAGCUACGGCGCCGUGAAUACGUUCCCGGGUCUUGUACACACCGCCCGUCACAUCAUGGAAGCCGGUCGCACCCGAAGUAUCUGAAGCCAACCGCAAGGAGGC